rnacentral:rRNA from 1 species
UAGGGAAUCUUCCACAAUGGACGCAAGUCUGAUGGAGCAACGCCGCGUGAGUGAAGAAGGCUUUCGGGUCGUAAAGCUCUGUUGUUGGUGAAGAAGGAUAGAGGCAGUAACUGGUCUUUAUUUGACGGUAAUCAACCAGAAAGUCACGGCUAACUACGUGCCAGCAGCCGCGGUAAUACGUAGGUGGCAAGCGUUGUCCGGAUUUAUUGGGCGUAAAGCGAGCGCAGGCGGAAUGAUAAGUCUGAUGUGAAAGCCCACGGCUCAACCGUGGAACUGCAUCGGAAACUGUCAUUCUUGAGUGCAGAAGAGGAGAGUGGAACUCCAUGUGUAGCGGUGGAAUGCGUAGAUAUAUGGAAGAACACCAGUGGCGAAGGCGGCUCUCUGGUCUGCAACUGACGCUGAGGCUCGAAAGCAUGGGUAGCGAACAGGAUUAGAUACCCUGGUAGUCCAUGCCGUAAACGAUGAGCGCUAGGUGUUGGGGACUUUCCGGUCCUCAGUGCCGCAGCAAACGCAUUAAGCGCUCCGCCUGGGGAGUACGACCGCAAGGUUGAAAC